AUACUGAGGGUGCAAGCGUUAAUCGGAAUUACUGGGCGUAAAGCGCACGUAGGCGGUUUAUUAAGUCAGAUGUGAAAGCCCUGGGCUUAACCUGGGAACUGCAUUUGAGACUGGUAGGCUAGAGUAUGGUAGAGGAUAGUGGAAUUCCGGGUGUAGCGGUGAAAUGCGUAGAUAUCCGGAGGAACAUCAGUGGCGAAGGCGGCUAUCUGGACCAAUACUGACGCUGAGGUGCGAAAGCGUGGGGAGCAAACAGGAUUAGAAACCCUAGUAGUCC
rnacentral:rRNA from 1 species